ensembl:lncRNA
AAACAAAUCUGUUCUCAUGCAAACGCUGCCAGUAACAGAAACUAGUAGAAGAUAAAUCUGAGACAUAUCACAUGUGUCGUACAAUUCCUUCCUAGUCAAAUGGAUUUCUGUUUGCCUGAAGUGUUCACAGCUGUUAACUGCAAUUUUUUUACAGGAGUAGACCAUGAACUUGAUGUAACAAAAGUAAUUUGUAAGACUGAGAAAAGAAGUAAUAAAACUCCUUCAGUGAUUCUGUAGGACCUAUUGCAUGGAGGUAUAAGUUCUGAUUAGCUGAGGAUGAUUUUUGUUUGUUUUCUUGUUGAGGAUUCAAUAAUAUUUCAAGUUGGAUUCAGCUGAAGGACCCUUCAGAUUCUGUCAUGUAACUGACUACUAAGAGACUUUAACUCUUUCUCUCCCACUCUACCCCACAUCAUCUGCAGUUGAGCAUUCUUUAGGUCACCCAACUAAGUGGUUCUGGAAGCUAUAAUGAAGGUAUCCAACAUGGUUUUCAUCUUCUGCCUCAGGUGUGUGAGGAUAUUCCGAUCUCAUCAAUUGGACUCUCUGCUUGAAUUUCAGUGGCUGUAAGUAGGCAAAAGAAAGCCAUCCAUAACACAUCUAAACACAGGAUGUCAUGGUUUUGUAACUUCGCUAUUGGUAUUCCACAUCAUAACAUCAUGGACAAAAGAGAAGAACUACGUAUCCCAGAGGACCUCACGGUCAGAGAAGGAAG